rnacentral:lncRNA from 1 species
AUCCUCGGGCCUGAGCGCCCGCCCACCGGCACGCGGAGGGGCUUCCUGGAACGAUUAGGCGGACCGUCGCCCCCAGGCUCCUUUCUCCCCUGGCGGAGUUUCUGCCCGCUGCGAUCUUCCCUAACUACCACUCUGCGGUCGCAGAAGACCAUCCAGAGGGGAGAUGAGGACUGGGAAGCCCGCUUGAGUGAUGCACAUCUGUGGCUUGUUACGAGAGCCGCGUGAAUUAAAGCAAGGCAGGGGACACCGCCCUGCCACUGCUUUCUAACCUUGAUUUUCAUCUUUCCUUCUCGGAUGGAAUCUAGAAGCCGCAGGAGUUUUCACUUGCGUCUGUGAUGGAGUUUCCCGCUCCCCGCCCCCCCGCACCAACCCGAGCUCUUUUUUCGCUUGGAGCCCGUAAGUUGCUAGAGGGCACCACGAUGGCUCUAGGAGCGCUGUCGGUGUUUUCUUCUGGAGGUGAUCCUGAAAUUUCCUCCCCAAAGCAAGCUCUGUUGCGAGGAGCAGGCUGGGGAUAUGUGCAAGUGAAUGUGUAUUCCAAGAGGGGGAUGAUACGCAGAUCUUUUGGUGUAUAGGAAUUAAUACUUUUAGAUUAUCAGUAAAAUGUAUACUUUCACUGGACUGAGAGAGAACAAGGCUUACGGUUACAUCAACCGGAUCAACAAAUAUUUAUUGUACUUGUAAUGAGUAAUACUUAGUCUAUUAUAUAAACAUAAAUGGAACCAUA